CAGCCGCCGCGGUAAUACGAAGGGUGCAAGCGUUACUCGGAAUUACUGGGCGUAAAGCGUGCGUAGGUGGUGGUUUAAGUCCGUCGUGAAAGCCCUGGGCUCAACCUGGGAAUUGCAGUGGAUACUGGGUCACUAGAGUGUGGUAGAGGAUAGUGGAAUUUCCGGUGUAGCAGUGAAAUGCGUAGAGAUCGGAAGGAACAUCUGUGGCGAAGGCGACUAUCUGGGCCAACACUGACACUGAGGCACGAAAGCGUGGGGAGCAAACAGGAUUAGAUACCCCGGUAGUCCCUGUCUCUUAUAC
rnacentral:rRNA from 1 species